GUAAAUUUUACUGGAAUCUGGGUUAAAGGACAAAUCUUGGAAGUUAAAGGGUAAUUGGAUCACCGGAGAACUCCUGAAAGAUUUAUCUCCCUGGAGGUACUUCCAUGGAGUGUGGGAGAUCAGAAAUAUGCCACAGGAAAAUAUGAAGGAUUGUUGAGCUGAAGGCAAUGAAGAAGCAGCAGAUGCAAGAAAGCUCUCUGCCCUCCCUCUAUUUGCCUAAAAGCAGGACAUAGAUUUACAAAAACAAAAGGUAUCCUGCCCCACCUUCUACUGGGAAGAGCAAAAAUAUUAACUACCAAAGACAACUUCGGACCCUUAUUGGCCUAGAGAUGAUACCAGAAGAAUCUACAUUAACAAGCUUUACUUACUGGCCUUUAUUGCCACUCAUUUCCUUCCUCCAAGUUGCU
rnacentral:lncRNA from 10 species